ACAUGCUUUCCAUAUUAUUCUUGUGAUGGUGGUGAGCUAAGUGAUUGAGAGACUCCGAGGUUUUUGCCGGAGAUUGAGAGUGACAGAGAGACUCCGAGGUCUUUGCCGGAGAUUGAGAGUGAUUGAAAGCCUCCGAGGUUUCUGCCGGAGAGCACGAGUGGUACAUGGACUUCGCGGGUCCCCCAUGGGUCAUGGCUUUGAGGCACUGCCCUUAGCAUGUGUGUACGAGAGUGGAGUGAGAGAGAGUACGAUCCAGGCUCCAGUUCUACACCCCGUGGGCGAUACGCGAGGGUGACAUCUUUCGAUAAUUCGGGGUGAGCUACUUGGUCAUCCGUGGCCCCCGAAGGACCUUCUCUAUUUAUUUUUUUUGUAUUCGACAGACAAUAUGUAGCCUUCGGGUAUUUUCAGACUUAUAUUCCGUACUAUGUUAGUGCUCUUGUACCCUUUGACCAGAUUUUGGGGUUGUCGUGACAUUUCUAGUUAUGAUAAGUAUUUAAGAUUAGAUAA